GCCUGCUGGGAUGGGUAGGGGAGCGUCGUGUGCCGGGUGAAGCCGCGCCGGAAGGCAGUGGUGGACGGUUCACGAGUGAGAAUGCAGGCAUGAGUAGCGAUACAAACGUGAGAAACGUUUGCGCCGAUUGACCAAGGGUUCCUGGGUCAAGCUGAUCUGCCCAGGGUAAGUCGGGACCUAAGGCGAGGCCGACAGGCGUAGUCGAUGGAUAACCGGUUGAUAUUCCGGUACCCGCUGUGAAGCGUCAAACAUCGAACCAGGCGAUGCUAAGUCCGUGAAGCCGCCCCGGAGCCUUCGGGCAAAGGGGAGUGGUGGAGCCGACGAACCAGACUUGCAGUAGGUGAGUGAUGGGGUGACGCAGGAAGGUAGUCCAUCCCGGGCGGUGGUUGUCCCGGGGUAAGGGUGUAGGCCGUGAUCUAGGUAAAUCCGGAUCACACAAGGCUGAGACCUGAUGCCGAGCCGAUUGUGGUGAAGUGGAUGAUCCUAUGCUGUCGAGAAAAGCCUCUAGCGAGUUUCAUGGCGGCCCGUACCCUAAACCGACUCAGGUGGUCAGGUAGAGAAUACCGAGGCGUUCGGGUGAACUAUGGUUAAGGAACUCGGCAAAAUGCCCCCGUAACUUCGGGAGAAGGGGGGCCAUCACCGGUGAUAGCACUUGCUGCUUGAGCUGGGGGUGGCCGCAGAGACCAGCGAGAAGCGACUGUUUACUAAAAACACAGGUCCGUGCGAAGCCGUAAGGCGAUGUAUACGGACUGACGCCUGCCCGGUGCUGGAACGUUAAGGGGACCGGUUAGUCACUCUUCGGGGUGGCGAAGCUGAGAACUUAAGCGCCAGUAAACGGCGGUGGUAACUAUAACCAUCCUAAGGUAGCGAAAUUCCUUGUCGGGUAAGUUCCGACCUGCACGAAUGGCGUAACGACUUCUCGACUGUCUCAACCAUAGGCCCGGUGAAAUUGCACUACGAGUAAAGAUGCUCGUUUCGCGCAGCAGGACGGAAAGACCCCGGGACCUUUACUACAGUUUGAUAUUGGUGUUCGGUUCGGCUUGUGUAGGAUAGCUGGGAGACUGUGAAGCUCGGACGCCAGUUCGGGUGGAGUCGUCGUUGAAAUACCAGUCUGGUCGUGCUGGAUGUCUAACCUGGGUCCGUGAUCCGGAUCAGGGACAGUGUCUGAUGGGUAGUUUAACUGGGGCGGUUGCCUCCCAAAGGGUAACGGAGGCGCCCAAAGGUUCCCUCAGCCUGGUUGGCAAUCAGGUGGUGAGUGUAAGUGCACAAGGGAGCUUGACUGUGAGACCGACGGGUCGAGCAGGGACGAAAGUCGGGACUAGUGAUCCGGCGGUGGCUUGUGGAAGCGCCGUCGCUCAACGGAUAAAAGGUACCCCGGGGAUAACAGGCUGAUCUUCCCCAAGAGUCCAUAUCGACGGGAUGGUUUGGCACCUCGAUGUCGGCUCGUCGCAUCCUGGGGCUGGAGUCGGUCCCAAGGGUUGGGCUGUUCGCCCAUUAAAGCGGUACGCGAGCUGGGUUUAGAACGUCGUGAGACAGUUCGGUCCCUAUCCGCUGCGCGCGCAGGAAUAUUGAGAAGGGCUGUCCCUAGUACGAGAGGACCGGGACGGACGAACCUCUGGUGUGCCAGUUGUUCUGCCAAGGGCAUGGCUGGUUGGCUACGUUCGGGAGGGAUAACCGCUGAAAGCAUCUAAGCGGGAAGCCUGCUUCGAGAUGAGUAUUCCCACCCACUUGA
rnacentral:rRNA from 1 species